UGGAAUGAAAAGUAGUCCCAAUUGAUUUUAUUACUUGUUCCAGCCAUAUAAAAUUGAAAUUACUUUUCAUAGACUGACGGUGUAAAAUCUUUUUGCACAUGCAUCCAAACAAAUCCACACAGUAAAUAUUUUUAAAGACAUCUUAGGAACUAAAUUUAAACAGUGGAUUGUUCCUUCAUCUUGUAAAUGUUGAAGAAAAUUUAGCAACAACAAACUAAUUAUCAUUUGCAUAAUUUUAACCAAUAGUAAUCUCAACAAGACAUCUUCAUAGGCCACUAGACACUUGGUACUAUUAGUUCCUCUGCAAUUCUCAAUCUUUCAACAAGACAUCAUCAUAGGCCACUAGACACUUGGUACUAUUAGUUCCUCUGCAAUUCUCAAUCUUUCAACAAGACAUCUUCAUAGGCCACUAGACACUUGGUACUAUUAGUUCCUCUGCAAUUCUCAAUCUUCCAAUUGCGCGAUGAUGCUUGCAAACACCCGGUACCCUUGGGCCAUAUCUGUAAAUAGACAAUACUCAUUCUGGGCAUGGUACGUUGCCAUCAGACCUGCACAUGACAUGAAAUGCAGUAAGUACUUUAUAA
rnacentral:lncRNA from 1 species